UAUCUUUGUAAAAAUUUUGGUUUCCAAUAGAUUUGGAAUUAAUAGGGAAUUGGGUGAAAAUCCCAAACUGUCCCCGCAACUGUAAAUCGCAAUUAAAGUUUCUACGAAAAUACCACUGUGAAAAUGGGAAGGUGUAGAAAGCGAAAGUCAGGAGACCUGCCAAGUUUUAUAAUCAAAAA
rnacentral:ncRNA from 1 species